UGCGUAGGCGGAUUAAUAAGUCAGUGGUGAAAACCUGCAGCUUAACUGUAGAACUGCCAUUGAUACUGUUAGUCUUGAGUACGGUCAAGGUAGGCGGAAUGUGUAAUGUAGCGGUGAAAUGCCUAGAUAUUACACAGAACACCGAUUGCGAAGGCAGCUUACUGGGCCAUUACUGACGCUGAGGCACGAAAGCGCGGGGAGCGAACAGGAUUAGAUACCCUGGUAGUCC
rnacentral:rRNA from 1 species